AACGAACGCUGGCGGCAUGCCUAACACAUGCAGGUCGAACGAGACCUUCGGGUCUAGUGGCGCACGGGUGCAUAACGCGUGGGAACCUGCCCUUAGGUUCGGAAUAACUCCCCGAAAGGGGUGCUAAUACCGGAUAAUGUCUUCGGACCAAAGAUUUAUCGCCUUUGGAUGGGCCCGCGUUGGAUUAGCUAGUUGGUAGGGUAAAAGCCUACCAAGGCGACGAUCCAUAGCUGGUCUGAGAGGAUGAUCAGCCACACUGGGACUGAGACACGGCCCAGACUCCUACGGGAGGCAGCAGUGGGGAAUAUUGGACAAUGGGCGAAAGCCUGAUCCAGCAAUGCCGCGUGAGUGAUGAAGGCCUUAGGGUUGUAAAGCUCUUUUACCCGGGAUGAUAAUGACAGUACCGGGAGAAUAAGCUCCGGCUAACUCCGUG
rnacentral:rRNA from 1 species